rnacentral:rRNA from 1 species
AACGAACGCUGGCGGCGCGUCUUAAACAUGCAAGUCGAACGAUCUGUAGCAAUACAGGGAGUGGCGGACGGGUGAGGAACACGUAGGAAUCUACCUUGAAGAGCGGGACAACUUUGGGAAACCGGGGCUAAUACCGCAUAGUACAGAGAUGUUAAAGGGCUAGCAAUAGUCGCUUCGAGAUGAGCCUGCGGUCUAUCAGCUUGUUGGUGAGGUAAUGGCUCACCAAGGCUACGACGGAUAGCCGGUCUGAGAGGAUGAUCGGCCACACUGGCACUGAGACACGGGCCAGACUCCUACGGGAGGCAGCAGUUAAGAAUCUUGCGCAAUGGGGAAACCCUGACGCAGCGACGCCGCGUGAAGGAUGAAGGCUUUCGGGUUGUAAACUUCGGUAGACUGGGAAGAAGAAAUACGUUCGUUGAGGGCGUAUAGUGACGGUACCAGUCUGAAGCCCCGGCUAA